rnacentral:rRNA from 1 species
AAGUCGUAACAAGGUUUCCGUAGGUGAACCUGCGGAAGGAUCAUUAUUGAAUAAGCUUGGUUGGGUUGUUGCUGGCUCUCAGGGGCAUGUGCACGCCUAACACCAACUUUUACCACCUGUGCACAUUUUGUAGACCUGGAUAAAACUCUCGAGGAAACUCGGUUUGAGGAAUGCUGUGCGCAAGCCAGCUUUCCUUGUACUUCUGGUCUAUGUUUUUAUAUAUACACACCCCUAUAGUAUGUCUCGGAAUGUUUGUUUGUUGGGCUUGAAUGCCUUUAAACUUAAUACAACUUUCAACAACGGAUCUCUUGGCUCUCGCAUCGAUGAAGAACGCAGCGAAAUGCGAUAAGUAAUGUGAAUUGCAGAAUUCAGUGAAUCAUCGAAUCUUUGAACGCACCUUGCGCUCCUUGGUAUUCCGAGGAGCAUGCCUGUUUGAGUGUCAUGAAAUUCUCAACCUUUUCAGCUUUUUCUGUUGAUCAGGCUUGGAUGUGGGAGUAUGCGGGCUUCUCAGAAGUCGGCUCUCCUGAAAUGCAUUAGCGGGACCUUUGUUGCCUUGCUUUGGNGNGAUAAUUAUCUACGCCAUUCGUGAAGAGCAGCUUNNNNNACUGCGAGUGAGCGGGAAAGCUCAAAUUUAAAAUCUGAGGGUCUUUAUGGCCUUCCGAGUUGUAAUCUAGAGAAGUGCUAUCCGCGCUGGNCCGUGUACAAGUCUCCUGGAACGGAGCGUCAUAGAGGGUGAGAAUCCCGUCUUUGACACGGACUACCAGGGCUUAUGUGAUACGCUCUCAAAGAGUCGAGUUGUUUGGGAAUGCAGCUCUAAAUGGGUGGUAAAUUCCAUCUAAAGCUGAAUAUUGGCGAGAGACCGAUAGCGAACAAGUACCGUGAGGGAAAGAUGAAAAGAACUUUGGAAAGAGAGUUAAAAAGUACGUGAAAUUGUUGAAAGGGAAACGCUUGAAGUCAGUCGCAUUGGCCAGGGAUCAACCUUGCUUUUGCUUGGUGUAUUUUCUGGUUAAUGGGUCAGCAUCAAUUUUGAUCGGUGGAAAAAGAUCAAGGGAAUGUGGCAUCUUCGGAUGUGUUAUAGCCCUUGGUUGUAUACAUCGAUUGGGAUUGAGGAACUCAGCACGCCGCAAGGCCGGGUUUUUAACCACGUACGUGCUUAGGAUGCUGGCAUAAUGGCUUUAAUCGACCCGUCUUGAAACCGGACC